UAAGGGAUAUUGCGCAAUGGGCGAAAGCCUGACGCAGCAACACCGCGUGGAGGAUGAAGGCCUUCGGGUCGUAAACUCGUUUUGACGCUGACGAGGAAGGACGGUAGGCGUCGAAGAAGUCACGGCUAACUACGUGCCAGCAGCCGCGGUAAAACGUAGGUGGCGAGCGUUAUCCGGAUUUACUGGGCGUAAAGGGUGUGCAGGCGGGCUGUUAAGUGGUGUAUGAAAUCGUCCGGCUCAACCGGGCGAGGUUAUGCCAGACUGGCAGUCUAGAGAGCGAGAGAGGGACGUGGAAUUCCGGGUGUAGUGGUGAAAUGCGUAGAGAUCCGGAGGAACCCCAGAGGCGAAGGCGGCGUCCUGGCUCGCAUCUGACGCUCAGACACGACAGCAUGGGGAGCGAACGG
rnacentral:rRNA from 1 species